GGCUCGGUAGCUCAGUCCGUAGAGCAACGGACUGAAAAUCCGUGUGUCGGCGGUUCGAUUCCGUCCCGAGCCACCA
rnacentral:tRNA from 1 species